GUAGCCCCCAGACGUAGGUGAAUUUGCAUUGAAAUGGGUUAACAAUUGCUUGUGUCACUUGUAUUACUGUUAUCUUUUAUCCUGUUUAUAUUAUUCAGAUAUUAGUGUCGUGACAUUACCUUCGACAUCUCAUAUCUGAUACUAGAAUUUCAACCUCCACAGUUAACAAAUCCUAAAAGAUUAUCUGAAUCGAGGCUUCGAAUCGAGGAACCCUAGAAAUCGCGUAUGGAAUUAAAUGGUGGCUUGGCGCGGAAUUUGCCAAUAACCUUAGGGAAAAGGCUCCUCCGGCGGGGCUCUAUGCAGCAAUAACGCACUUAAGGAGAAAUGAAGGAAGGAGAAAUACCUCUGGCAUGGUUGCUCCGACGAGAAUGAAAGAAUACGAAUCUGAGGGCUCCGAAUCAGGUAUUGAGGUCCUUACUACGCUCAACAGUUCAACAAAAGGAAGAAGUUGAAAACAAGUCGCGAACCUAGUCACGGCGAGGAACCUUGCCGGAAACGUCUCAACGUGGCCGUUCUCUCACGAUCACCUACCAAAGCUAGUCGAUCUCGCUAGUCCUAAACGCGUCUGGAAAUCAGACGGCGUUACCUUCGAAGCCGCGAUUGGCUUUGGUGACCGAAGAGUAUGGAGAAAAGUGACUCAUGUACUAUGUGCUUUUCAAUCCCACUCCUCUUCUCUUCUACUCCGAUUGCCGUGUGAUUCGUUCGACAAUCUACUUACGUUCAGAUCUUUAGCCGAUUCCCACUGAUUUGCACCAAAUACCUCUAACCGAGCCAAACUUCUCCGGCAACCGCCAGCGACGAUGAGGAUUACGAUGGAAACGAAGGGGAACACGCCGUUAAUGCUCCACCUCAAGUCUCUUAUUCUUUUUUUUGCGUUCUCUCUCUUCUUCUACUUCUUCUGUAAACUUUGAUUCUGCGCUAUCGUUGUUGUCACCGAACGUGAGAGAAAAAUCAGAGGGAUAGUUCAAGAUUGACGGAGAGUCAUUGAGGGAGCUUUUGGAUUUGUAUGUAAGGUGCAAUUUGCUGGGAAAAGAAAGGGAAUCUAGAGACUCAGAUUGUGAACGGUUUGUGAUUUUAUAGAGUGGAAAGAGUGAGGUUAGAAUAGGAAUUUGAAUUGGAAACUGUUAGAUUGAAAUUCUGUUAUGAUGUGAAGUUGGUUAGAAAUCUGUUAUUGGAUGAAAGUUUUGUUAACUGAUUUUUCUUUUUGUCUUUUUUGAGGAAUUGACGUCGCCGUUUUGCUUAUGAGUUUGGCUUGUAGCGUUGUUUUCGCUUAUGGAGUUUACAUUGCCAUUUCUGUUUCCGCAUUUUAAGCUGCAGCGUUUGGAUUGGUUCUUUGUGGUCGUCGUUGCCGUUUGGAGCAUGUUUGAGUCCCGGCUUGGCUUGCAGUGUAUCAGCUUGCCGAACCAAGUGCCUUAAGGGCCACUUUCACAGUCUCUUCUGACAGUGAAGCAUAUCCGUAAUACGUCUUGUGAUUUCACCAGUUAUUGCAGCGUGUUUGCCGCUUUGCAGCCGGUGACAUUGCUACAGUUGGAGCUUGUUGCUGCUAUUACUUUACAGUGUGAUCACGGUUCAGCUGCUGUUUGCAUUUCUACCGGCCGCCGGAGUUUCUAGUUUUGUCUUAAAUUUCUCCAUUAUCAACUCCAUCUGCGAAUAGAAUAAGCAAGUUCCCACCGCAUCCGUAACAACCAUGGGGUGUAAUUUUAAAAUUUGCCGUUCAUCAAUUCCCCUUGUUUUCUUUUUCUUCAUUUUUCUAUGUAAAACCUUAUGGCUUGAUAUAUGAAUGGACUAAUGGAAAAUUUUCUGUAUU